rnacentral:rRNA from 1 species
ACGGAAGGCAGCAGUGGGGGAUAUUGCACAAUGGGGGAAACCCUGAUGCAGCGACGCCGCGUGAGCGAAGAAGUAUUUCGGUAUGUAAAGCUCUAUCAGCAGGGAAGAAAAUGACGGUACCUGACUAAGAAGCCCCGGCUAACUACGUGCCAGCAGCCGCGGUAAUACGUAGGGGGCAAGCGUUAUCCGGAUUUACUGGGUGUAAAGGGAGCGUAGACGGCGAGGCAAGUCUGAUGUGAAAGCUCGGGGCUCAACCCCGGAACUGCAUUGGAAACUGUUUUGCUAGAGUGUCGGAGAGGUAAGCGGAAUUCCUAGUGUAGCGGUGAAAUGCGUAGAUAUUAGGAGGAACACCAGUGGCGAAGGCGGCUUACUGGACUGUAACUGACGUUGAGGCUCGAAAGCGUGGGGAGCAAACAGGAUUAGAUACCCUGGUA